GUGCCAGCAGCCGCGGUAAUACGUAGGGUGCGAGCGUUAAUCGGAAUUACUGGGCGUAAAGCGUGCGCAGGCGGUUCGUUGUGUCGGCGGUGAAAGCCCCGGGCUCAACCUGGGAAUGGCCGUUGAAACUGGCGAACUGGAGUGUGGCAGAGGGGGGUGGAAUUCCGCGUGUAGCAGUGAAAUGCGUAGAGAUGCGGAGGAACACCGAUGGCGAAGGCAGCCCCCUGGGCUGACACUGACGCUCAGGCACGAAAGCGUGGGGAGCAAACAGGAUUAGAAACCCCCGUAGUCC
rnacentral:rRNA from 1 species